rnacentral:tRNA from 1 species
GGGGUUGUGGCUCAGUGGUAGAGCGCUCGUCUGGCAUGCAUGAGUCAUUGGGUUUGAUCCUCAGCACCA